GAUGAAGAACGCAGCGAAAUGCGAUAAGUAAUGUGAAUUGCAGAAUUCAGUGAAUCAUCGAAUCUUUGAACGCAUCUUGCGCUCCUUGGUAUUCCUUGGAGCAUGCCUGUUUGAGUAUCAUGAGCAAAUCUCAAAGUCAAUUCCUUUUGUUGAUUCAAUUGGUUUUGCUUUGGACUUGGAGGCCUUGCAGAUUUCACAGUCUGCUCCUCUUAAAUGCAUUAGCUGGAUCUCAGUAAUUAUGCUUGGUUCCACUCGGCGUGAUAAGUAUCACUCGCUGAGGACACUGUUAAAAAGGUGGCCAGGAAAAUACUGAUUGAACCGCUUCUAACGGUCUAUUAAGUUAGACAAUUACCCUUAAGUUUGAUCUCAAAUCAGGUAGGACUACCCGCUGAACUUAAGCAUAUCAAUAAACGGAGGA
rnacentral:misc_RNA from 1 species